CAGUAGCCGCGGUAAUACGUAGGGUGCGAGCGUUAAUCGGAAUUACUGGGCGUAAAGCGUGCGCAGGCGGUUCGUUAAGACAGAUGUGAAAUCCCCGGGCUCAACCUGGGAACUGCAUUUGUGACUGUAGAGCUCGAGUACGGUAGAGGGGGAUGGAAUUCCGCGUGUAGCAGUGAAAUGCGUAGAUAUGCGGAGGAACACCGAUGGCGAAGGCAAUCCCCUGGACCUGUACUGACGCUCAUGCACGAAAGCGUGGGGAGCAAACAGGAUUAGAGACCCCAGUAGUCCCUGUCUCUUAUAC
rnacentral:rRNA from 1 species